CCUACGGGAGGCAGCAGUURGGAAUUUUGGGCAAUGGGSGAAACCCUGACGCAGCAACGCCGCGUGGAGGAUGAAGCCCUUUGGGUUGUAAACUCCUUUCGACCAGGAAGAUAAUGAUGGUACUGCAGAGUGGAAGAAGAMCGGCUAAACUCUGUGCCAGCAGCCGCGGUAAU
rnacentral:rRNA from 1 species